rnacentral:ncRNA from 1 species
AGUAAAAAAUUUAUAAGAAUAUGAUGUUGGUUCAGAUUAAGCGCUAAAUAAGGACAUGACACAUGCGAAUCAUACGUUUAUUAUUGAUAAGAUAAUAAAUAUGUGGUGUAAACGUGAGUAAUUUUAUUAGGAAUUAAUGAACUAUAGAAUAAGCUAAAUACUUAAUAUAUUAUUAUAUAAAAAUAAUUUAUAUAAUAAAAAGGAUAUAUAUAUAAUAUAUAUUUAUCUAUAGUCAAGCCAAUAAUGGUUUAGGUAGUAGGUUUAUUAAGAGUUAAACCUAGCCAACGAUCCAUAAUCGAUAAUGAAAGUUAGAACGAUCACGUUGACUCUGAAAUAUAGUCAAUAUCUAUAAGAUACAGCAGUGAGGAAUAUUGGACAAUGAUCGAAAGAUUGAUCCAGUUACUUAUUAGGAUGAUAUAUAAAAAUAUUUUAUUUUAUUUAUAAAUAUUAAAUAUUUAUAAUAAUAAUAAUAAUAAUAUAUAUAUAUAAAUUGAUUAAAAAUAAAAUCCAUAAAUAAUUAAAAUAAUGAUAUUAAUUACCAUAUAUAUUUUUAUAUGGAUAUAUAUAUUAAUAAUAAUAUUAAUUUUAUUAUUAUUAAUAAUAUAUUUUAAUAGUCCUGACUAAUAUUUGUGCCAGCAGUCGCGGUAACACAAAGAGGGCGAGCGUUAAUCAUAAUGGUUUAAAGGAUCCGUAGAAUGAAUUAUAUAUUAUAAUUUAGAGUUAAUAAAAUUAAUUAAAGAAUUAUAAUAGUAAAGAUGAAAUAAUAAUAAUAAUUAUAAGACUAAUAUAUGUGAAAAUAUUAAUUAAAUAUUAACUGACAUUGAGGGAUUAAAACUAGAGUAGCGAAACGGAUUCGAUACCCGUGUAGUUCUAGUAGUAAACUAUGAAUACAAUUAUUUAUAAUAUAUAUUAUAUAUAAAUAAUAAAUGAAAAUGAAAGUAUUCCACCUGAAGAGUACGUUAGCAAUAAUGAAACUCAAAACAAUAGACGGUUACAGACUUAAGCAGUGGAGCAUGUUAUUUAAUUCGAUAAUCCACGACUAACCUUACCAUAUUUUGAAUAUUAUAAUAAUUAUUAUAAUUAUUAUAUUACAGGCGUUACAUUGUUGUCUUUAGUUCGUGCUGCAAAGUUUUAGAUAAUGUUCAUAAACGAACAAAACUCCAUAUAUAUAAUUUUAAUUAUAUAUAAUUUUAUAUUAUUUAUUAAUAUAAAGAAAGGAAUUAAGACAAAUCAUAAUGAUCCUUAUAAUAUGGGUAAUAGACGUGCUAUAAUAAAAUGAUAAUAAAAUUAUAUAAAAUAUAUUUAAUUAUAUUUAAUUAAUAAUAUAAAACAUUUUAAUUUUUAAUAUAUUUUUUUAUUAUAUAUUAAUAUCAAUUAUAAUCUGAAAUUCGAUUAUAUGAAAAAAGAAUUGCUAGUAAUACGUAAAUUAGUAUGUUACGGUGAAUAUUCUAACUGUUUCGCACUAAUCACUCAUCAGGCGUUGAAACAUAUUAUUAUCUUAUUAUUUAUAUAAUAUUUUUUAAUAAAUAUUAAUAAUUAUUAAUUUAUAUUUAUUUAUAUCAGAAAUAAUAUGAAUUAAUGCGAAGUUGAAAUACAGUUACCGUAGGGGAACCUGCGGUGGGCUUAUAAAUAUCUUAAAUAUUCUUACA